AAUACCCAUGUUGUCAGAGCACCUGACUAGUAGACUAAUGACGUACACAAACCAUUAACGUACCUAGAGCUAGCUAGCUAGCUGAGCGCGCGUAGACAUAGACUAGACUAGGCUGGAUAUAUUUCAUAGAGAUCCUUAAAACUCCAAUGGCAAUGUCAAUGGGAUCAGUGAUUUGGUCAGUUCUACUUCUAGGAGGAUAUCUGAUUGUAAAUGUGUCUGGUCAGAUGACCAUUACAUCUUCUCUGCAAAACAGAAUGUAUGUUUGUCCAGGAGAGAAGGUUACCUAUGUCUGCAAUGGAACUGGAGAUCAAAUGAGGCUAUCAGCACCACCAUACGUUAACUCAAACACUCCUGUGUUGUAUGUGCGUGAAUUGGACUCUCCGGGAGUAGCACGUCAAAGAGGCCCUAUUGUAAUAACUCUUAUAUCAACUGAUUCACCUUUGAUGGUAGCAAACUUGACAGUGAAUUCUUCAUUGCCAGAGUUUGUUGUUCAAUGCACUGUUCUCCCAACUUCCGGUCAAGCUGUAGCUCGGUACAAACCUUCAGGUCCUCCUUUAGAUGUGAUGGCUCCUAUGGUAGGAUCUUUUAACAAAGAUAACAUGGCUGGUGUGCGAAUAAACUGGACACAUAAUGAUGGAAAUUAUGACUGUAGGCACUUCACGGUCCAGGUGUUUGAGAAUAACACUUUAAUUAAAUCCAUCGAUAUUUCUGCAGAAAGGAAUAGUUACGAAGCAAUACUUACUGAACCAAUCAGUGCUCCCAUAGAUGUCUACGCACGUAUAACAGUGACAUCCAAGUGUAACCAGACAACCGAUGGAGUUUUGACGGACACAAUUCGGAUAAAUAAAAGUAUAAAAACAGCAUACGUGUUCUGGGUACUUCUUUCAGCUGCAACAAUUGUCCUAACAAUAAUCUAGGUGUAUGCCUAUUCGUCAAAAUUUGCAGGAAGUAAUAUUGUCUGUGAGGUCCUAUAUAGCUGUCGAACAUCGUUUAAGAUUGACUAAUUAGAGGCUGAACUUUUGUUUUUAAUUAUUAUUAUUACCCACCACGGGCAUAGUAGUCUGUUGGUCUGUUUGUUUGUUUGUUUGUGAUGAGCUUUUCUAUUCACCUG